rnacentral:lncRNA from 10 species
GUGGAGCUGGAAAGGUGGAGGCGGAAGUGACUGAUCAAUUCAGGGGCGUGGGGUUCGUUUAGGUUUUGCCCUGUGUAUGACCUCGUUUGGAGCCAUGAAACCAGCCUCAAGCUUUAUUCUAGGAAGAUGAGCAAAGCAGACCUUGGUGGCCAGAGGGGAGCCCUCAGGUAGAGCUGCAGAUGCUGGCAGUUUGUGUUAGAAGGUUCCGGGGCUAAACAGAUGCCUAGAAUUAGCCACCAAAAGGUAAAUUGUAGACUCCACUCUUCAAGAAGCAGCAGAAGGAUUAGGAAUUCAAACAGUGCUAUUUUACGGUGGCUUUUCUACAAUAUAAAGAUGGAAAUGGGAAGAAGAUGUUCAUUGCAAAUUAAGGAAGCUCUUCCACGAGUUCACGAAUGGAAAU